GUGUAACGUGCCAUCAUUUUAAAUGGCGGUAAAAGUAUGGCAGAAAACCGUCCCGUUUCACGUUAACAAUGAUUAUUUCCCGUAACACCUUAUUCAGUAAAAAUCAAAGACUUUUUAGAAAUCUUGAAAUUCCACAAACUUGCUGCACGGUUAAAAAUUCAAAAAAAUAAUCACUAUGCGCAGAAUUUCCAGAGGAACACAGCAAAGUAUAAGCCUGGCUCGAUAAAUCUUUCUUUUUCGAGAAUCUAGCCUGUUUUUGAGAACCAAAUUUUUGCCAUACAAAACUGACCGAACUUUAAAACGCCUGAAAACUACCAUUUCAUUUACAUUACCUUAAUAAAUCGCUGAUCGCUCGACGUGCUGCAGUCAGAUGGACCAGGUGAUCACAGCCAAACACAAUAUAACCCGCGAUUUUCCCGAUAUCUUGAAUCAAAAAACGUGAAGUGGAAAAUUUCGCGAUUAUUUUUUUGUCUGUUCAGACACUCUCCAAUACAACUGUCAUAUGCACUUGUGGUUUGCUUGUGGUAGUAGUCAUCGAGAAUGUGGUUGCCAAAAAUUCAAGUCGAGCACUUUUAAUAAAAUUCAAAAAUAACAUUUUGUUGCUUGAUGUUUUACCUUGUACUGAUAAAAAACAAUCUAACAACUCAUCCAUGAGUUGUUUUGUUACAUAAAAGAAAGUUUAAAGUGGAAUUCGAGAUAAAAUAACAACAGAAAAAAUAAAUUAAAAAACUUCGUGCAAUUAAACUCUGCUCCGUAUGGCCACACUUUUUUGGCACGUCAAGGGCAUAUAUUUAUACAAGGUGUGCUCGAUUGAAAAAAAAAUAGCACGAAAAGCAGAUUUCAAGCAGAUUUUGUAGAUUUUUUUUAUUUUUAUGCAUUUAUAUAUUUUUAUUCGACGCAACCAGUAUGCAAUUUUCGGGUCACUUUAGUUUAGCAGUGCGCAUUCAAUAAAUCCAAUAUUCAUGCUAAUUAUUUAUUUCGCGCAAGGAAUAAAGCACACCAUGCCCUUGCUGGGACGCAAGAUUUUGACAGUUCUGUUUGUUUUUAUCUUCUGCUGGUCUGUCGUGAAAAUUGCUCGACCGUGCGAAGAAAAUUUUAAUCUAGAAAAAUGAGAGAAAACCACAGGAAAUUGCAAUUGUCGUGGAGCGGACAGUGAAAACAACGGGUAGACCUCAUCCGUCAGUGUGGGAACCACUCACGGAGCCAACGAGUUUUCUGACCCACCCACCCCGAUGAUCGAUCACAAUCUGGCCAGGACAGGAAUAGCUGGAUCGGGUUUCUCCCGGUUCCGCAGCCCAAGGAAGUGAGCUCUACACCGGUACUUCGCCAUCAGUUUUACCAGGAACAGCUGAUUACCGGACCUGAUCGAUGUAGUGCUAUACCGCAACCUUAGGCCCGGAUUCCCAAAGCUGCUGAUAAAGCGUGUUUACCUGCUCCGCGAGAAGCUCAAGCUGGAGUUCGGCAUCUAAAGAAUCAGGUUGAUCUCGAACGCAGUCGUUGAGACCUUCGAAAUCCGGAUCGAAACCUCCCGGACUGAUGGGACAGCUACUCACGCGCUAAUUUUGUUAUUUGUGGUCAAACAUGAAAAAUAUUUGUUUAUAAAUGUUUAAAUCAAGA